GGUGGGGUACAGCUCAGUGGUAGAGCACGUGCUUAGCAUGCAUGAGGUCCUAGGUUCAAUCCCCAGCGCCUCCA
rnacentral:tRNA from 1 species